GAACCUUUAAAUGGUGUCUGGACCCCCGGGGAAACAUUUGCCCAAACACCCUGAAGAGGACACAGGCAAGAAAGACAACCACCACAUUCCUUGAUGAGGAGCAGCUGUGCAGGAUCUGAAACAAGGCUACCAACUGAUUUUAAACUUCCCAAUAAAUAAUCAAUAAAUAUUUAAACUUCU